UACGUAGGGUGCGAGCGUUAAUCGGAAUUACUGGGCGUAAAGCGUGCGCAGGCGGUGAUGUAAGACAGAUGUGAAAACCCAGGGCUCAACCUUGGAACUGCAUUUGUGACUGCAUCGCUGGAGUGCGGCAGAGGGGGAUGGAAUUCCGCGUGUAGCAGUGAAAUGCGUAGAUAUGCGGAGGAACACCGAUGGCGAAGGCAAUCCCCUGGGCCUGCACUGACGCUCAUGCACGAAAGCGUGGGGAGCAAACAGG
rnacentral:rRNA from 1 species